CAACAAUGGCGGCAGCUAGUUAGUUUUAACAUUACUCUUAUUAUUCUUUCUGGGUCACAAAAUAAACGUUGAACAUAUUUUCAGGCGAGAAUGUAGCUGUGUAAACCUCAAAUAUCUGCUCAGUUUAUCAGGACACCGCAUAUUUUCAAAAGCGCUCCGACGUUUUCGGAGACGUCUGUUACCCACUAGCUCGAUAGCUAGGCGGGGGCUAGGCUAACUAGAGCCGUGAGAACACCGGACUCUGGGCUAAUCGUUUUCAAACCCACCGCCGUCUUUUGCUACUCAGGUUAAACAUGAUAUAUGAGUCACUUAGAUAACUUAAAAAUGUUAUUGUUUGGCUUUUUUCAGUGUUUUAUUUGUUCCUGAGUAAAUCGGUUUGGCUGAGAUUAAAGUUAUAGUUUUUACACAGCUGAAUAAACAUCAAGCAGACAGCUGAUUAUCAGAAGUGAGAUGCUCGAGAAUUUACUCCGGUGUCCUGUUAUAUUUUAGAUAGCAAGGAGUUUAUUAAACUCCACCGAGCUGUCCGAUUGGCCUCCCUGCUGCUGCGGAGCCUGGGACGGUCUGCUUGCCUCCACCCCGGGGGGAAGGGUAACAUCUCUUGGGUCUGGGUUCUGUUUCCCCCUCUGGGGGCGAGGGUACCUGGACCCGGGGUAUAGAGUAUGUUUGGGGAGUGUGAUUGUGUGUACAUGUCCAUUUAUGUCAAUCCUUACGUUGGGUGAGUGCUGAGUGUUUGUAUAUGUGUGCAUGAGGGUGGGAAUGCAUGUUUGUGUCUGUGUCUAUAUGUCAGGUCGGGUCUUAGACUCCACCUCUCUGGGAACUCCCAGGCCCUCCAAGGCCUAUCUCCCCUCACCACACUCCCUGCCGGUGACUGAUGCCCUCAGGGGUCGGUGCAUUGGUGGUUCUUGGUGUCCGGGGCUGGGUACUCAGGUAUGUACCGGCUCACUCCCGGUGGCUACCUGGCGGGGCCUGGCGCCUGUUGCUCGGUCAGGCCUCCUCCGGGGUGCGGGGGGCCCUCGGGCCUCCGGCCUCUGGGCCUGCGGCUCGGUUCACUCUGGCACAGCUGCAGCCCCCUCUAGCUUCUGCUCGGUGGCUACUGGGUGACGCCUCGUCUGGGGAUCCUCAGCUCUUCCCAUGAGGGUGGCACGAUGCCCCUCCGGUGCUCCUCUUUGGGCUCUCGCACUCUGAGGCCUAUGGAUGUCUGGGGCCUGGAUCUCCUCCAUGCCUGCUUCAUGCCCUGGGAGACAGGGCUAUGGCUCGCUACAUCCUCUUGCAGACCAUUACAUGUGGAAACCAUUUGAAUACAAGCACACUGAUCCACACAGGUGUGCACACGGGUGUUCACUGCUCGUAGACUUAAAUUACACCUUUCUUGGCUGCUACUUCAAAGCACAUUGUGCGCUGUCUGUCCUGUGUGCUGCACAACAACAUUGAAUAUUCAGUAUUUACUGCUGUUUACACUUAGCUAGAUUAAUGCGAUGGUGUUGUGUUUAGUAUGUUGCUUUGUUGUUUUUUUUGCCUGUUUUCUAUUCUUCUCUCAACAGGUGAUCCAGGAGAUUUUUUUUUCCUCCCCCCCUUUCUCACCGUCCCUCUCCCCUUCUGUUUUUCUUUUCCUUCCUCUUUCUCUCUCCCUUUCCUAUCCCUCACUCAUGUCCAUCUGAAAAUAAAAUAUAAUAAACAAUAAAAACAAAGGUCGAUCAAAUGGACCAAUACGGCAAUGCCACGAUGAUCCAUUUGGCAAAGUAAAUUCAUUGGGUAUCCUUGUUGGUCUUCAGACAACAAUUCUGAUGGCUAAAGAACCAAAUGGGACAGGCA
ensembl:lncRNA